UACUAGCGGUCCAAGUCGCAGCCAUUUUUAUUGGGUCUAAAACAUCCGUAGCUUGCUUAAUAAGUUCCUUGUGAAAUUUUAUGUCUCAAGCAUAGAGCGUGCAAGGAGUACUGUUAAGCUAGAGACUGGAAGGCGUAGGAAGUACGGUCAAAGUAGCGGUAAAAUGCGUUAAUCUUGAACGGACUCACAAUAGCGAAGGCAUCCUACGAGGACAGUUCUGACAGUAAGGGAUGAAAGCUAGGGGCGCAAAACGGAUUAGAUACCCGUGUAGUCCUAGCAGUAAACACUGCACACUAAACAUCAGUACCUCCUCGAGAGGUAUUGGUGCUGUAGGGAAGCCGAAGAGUGUGCUACCUGGGAAGUAUAGUCGCAAGGCCGAAACUUAAAGGAAUUGGCGGGGAGACACUACAACGGGUGACGCGUGCGGUUCAAUUAGAUUAUACACCGUGAACCUCACCAGGGCCGACAGCAGAAUGAAGGUCAGUCUAAAGGGCUUACCUGACACGCUGAGAGGAGUCGCAAGGCCGACGUCAGCCUGUGCUGUGAAGUGACCUGUUAAAUCAGGUAACAGGCAAGACCCACGUGCAUAUUUACUACUGAACUAUAUGCAGAUUGCCUUGGUAACAAGGAUGAAAGUGUGGGCUACGUUAGGUUAGAUCAGCCCGACUGCCCUGGGCAACACGCGCGCGUCAAUGGUGAAUACAACGAGAUGCAACACCGAAAGGUGAAGCUAAUCUCUUAAAGUUCAUCUCAGUCCAGAUCGAGGUUUGUAACUCAGCCUCGUGACGCUGGAAUCCGUAGUAAUCGUUUGUUAUCAACGAACGGUGAAUACGUCACUGUCUC
rnacentral:rRNA from 1 species